rnacentral:rRNA from 1 species
UACGUAGGGGGCAAGCGUUGUCCGGAAUUAUUGGGCGUAAAGAGCGCGUAGGCGGUCCGAUAAGUCGGCUGUGAAAGUCAUGGGCUCAACCCAUGAAAGCCGGCCGAUACUGUCGGACUAGAGUCCGGAAGAGGCGAGUGGAAUUCCCGGUGUAGCGGUGAAAUGCGCAGAUAUCGGGAGGAACACCAAUGGCGAAGGCAGCUCGCUGGGACGGUACUGACGCUGAGGCGUGAAAGCGUGAGGAGCAAACAGG